AUGGCUUCACUGGGUUGUUCUUCCAGAAAGUGUUGGGACAUUAUUAAAGUCGAUCUCGUGCGGGUUAUUGACCUCUUUGGCAGUCUUUGCACCGCCAACUUCCACUGGCUUAACUCCGCCAAUGUGGUCCUCCUGCUGAAGAAGGACGGUGCGGAAGAAAUCACCGACUACCGCCCCAUCAAUCUUAUUCAUGCGGUGGCAAAAAUAAUCGCCAAGGUUCUGGCCAUCAGGCUCGCCAGCCACAUGCGCACUCUGGUUUCGCAUGCCCAAAGCACAUUUAUAAAAACCAGGAGCAUCCACGAUAACUUCAUGUAUGUACGGCUUGCACGCCGGCUCCACAAGUGCAAAACGCCGGCUCUGCUUUUUAAGCUUGACAUUCGCAAGGCCUUCUAUUCGGUUAGACGCGAGUACCCGCUUGAUCUUCUUCAGCGGCGGGGAUUCCCUGGCAUCUUCCGCGAUUGGUUUUCCGCCCUCCUGUGUACUUCAUCAUCGUGUGUUCUUUUAAAUGGGGUGGCCGGAAAGUCGAUCUUCCAUGGCAGGGUCUUCGGCAAGGAGACCCUAUGUCUCCCCUACUCUUUGUCAUCGCCAUCGACCCGCUCCAAAGAAUCCUGGAGGUGGCCACCAGGCAGAAAUUGUUCCAUAAACUUCAUGGGCGUGGCCCGGUGGUUCGUACCUCGCUUUACGCGGAUGAUGCGGCGGUCUUCGUGGCGCCCGUCAAACGUGACAUUGACAACCUCUCCAACAUCCUCCACCUAUUCGGGAAGGUGA
rnacentral:rRNA from 1 species